rnacentral:rRNA from 1 species
UGCCAGCCUCCGCGGUAAUACGAAUGGGGCAAGCGUUGUUCGGAAUCACUGGGCUUAAAGCGUGCGCAGGCGGAUAUGAAAGUCAGGAGUGAAAUCCCAGAGCUCAACUCUGGAACUGCUCUUGAAACUCCAUAUCUAGAAUCCGGUAGAGGUCAGGAGAAUUCCUAGUGUAGAGGUGAAAUUCGUAGAUAUUAGGAGGAAUACCGGUGGCGUAGGCGCCUGACUGGGCCGGCAUUGACGCUCAUGUACGAAAGCGUGGGGAGCAAACAGGAUUAGAUA